AACGAACGCUGGCGGCAUGCCUAACACAUGCAAGUCGAACGAGACCUUCGGGUCUAGUGGCGCACGGGUGCGUAACGCGUGGGAACCUGCCCUUAGGUUCGGAAUAACUCCCCGAAAGGGGUGCUAAUACCGGAUAAUGUCUUCGGACCAAAGAUUUAUCGCCUUUGGAUGGGCCCGCGUUGGAUUAGCUAGUUGGUAGGGUAAAAGCCUACCAAGGCGACGAUCCAUAGCUGGUCUGAGAGGAUGAUCAGCCACACAGGGACUGAGACACGGCCCAGGCUCCUACGGGAGGCAGCAGUGGGGAAUAUUGGACAAUGGGCGAAAGCCUGAUCCAGCAAUGCCGCGUGAGUGAUGAAGGCCUUAGGGUUGUAAAGCUCUUUUACCCGGGAUGAUAAUGACAGUACCGGGAGAAUAAGCUCCGGCUAACUCCGUG
rnacentral:rRNA from 1 species